rnacentral:lncRNA from 1 species
GGCCGUGGAUGCUUUAGUGAAAAAGCUGAAGAAGAAGAAGGGCGCCAUGGAGGAGUUGGAGAAAGCCUUGAGCAGCCCAGGACAGCCAAGCAAGUGUGUCACUAUCCCCAGGUCCUUGGACGGCCGUUUGCAAGUCUCUCACAGGAAAGGCUUGCCCCACGUUAUAUAUUGCCGUGUUUGGCGCUGGCCGGAUUUGCAGAGCCAUCAUGAGCUAAAGCCUUUGGAUAUUUGUGAGUUUCCUUUUGGAUCGAAGCAAAAAGAAGUUUGUAUCAAUCCAUACCACUAUAAGAGAGUGGAGAGUCCAGUCUUACCUCCAGUGUUAGUGCCUCGUCACAACGAAUUCAAUCCCCAGCACAGCCUUCUGGUUCAGUUCAGGAACCUGAGCCACAAUGAGCCGCACAUGCCCCAGAAUGCCACGUUUCCUGAUUCCUUCCACCAGCCCAACAGCACUCCUUUCCCCUUAUCUCCUAACAGCCCCUAUCCUCCUUCCCCUGCUAGCAGCACAUAUCCCAACUCCCCUGCAAGCUCCGGACCAGGAAGUCCAUUUCAACUCCCAGCUGAUACCCCUCCCCCUGCCUAUAUGCCACCUGACGAUCAGAUGGGUCAGGAUAACUCCCAGCCUAUGGACACAAGCAACAACAUGAUUCCUCAGAUCAUGCCCAGCAUAUCUAGCAGAGAUGUUCAGCCUGUUGCCUAUGAAGAGCCCAAACACUGGUGUUCGAUUGUGUACUAUGAACUGAACAACCGUGUCGGGGAAGCUUUCCAUGCGUCUUCCACCAGUGUGUUAGUAGACGGGUUUACAGACCCUGCCAAUAACAAGAGCCGCUUCUGCUUGGGGCUGCUGUCCAACGUUAAUCGCAACUCAACCAUCGAGAACACCAGGCGGCACAUCGGGAAAGGUGACCUCGCCAUUUCCUUUCAUUCCUUUGAAUCCAGUCAUU